UACGUAGGCAGCGAGCGUUGUUCGGAGUUACUGGGCGUAAAGCGUGCGUAGGCGGUUGUCUAAGUUUGGUGUGAAAUCUCCUGGCUUAACUGGGAGAGUGCGCCGAAAACUGGGUGACUGGAGUGUCGGAGAGGUAAGCGGAAUUCCUGGUGUAGCGGUGAAAUGCGUAGAGAUCAGGAGGAACACCUGUGGUGUAGACAGCUUACUGGACGAUAACUGACGCUGAGGCACGAAAGCGUGGGUAGCAAACAGG
rnacentral:rRNA from 1 species